rnacentral:lncRNA from 1 species
AAGAACCAGGUUCAGAUGGUGAGUUCUUCGAUUGCAAAAUUCGAUGUGAUGAACUUUGACGAAUCUGAAAAUUUCGAAUUAUGGCAAUAAAGGGUGAAGGAUAUGUUGGCACAACGCAAAGGAUGGUGAAGGCACUAUUGGAGGAGGUUCACAGGGGUGAAGGGUUGAUCGUGAAUAUUGUGGGAGAAGGAUGGACAAAGGUUGUUCUUACAAAGGGUGUUAGAGAUCAAAAUCUAGGAAUAAAAAAAAAAAAAAAGCCCAGUGCUACAAAUGCCUCCAGAUGGGGCCACUUUAAGAAAGAUUGUCAGCAGUGUGAUGAAAUGAAAAGCGGUGUCCUCAAACUCGGCUACUGUUGCAAAAGGAGACUCGGAUUCUAGAGAUAAAGACAUUUAUCACUUUACAAAUAAUUCUUAUAGUACAUAACUGUUGGAUUCUUGAUUCAGUCAGUUCAUAUCACAUGUAUCCUCAUCGAAAUUGGCUCGAUUCAUAUCUAAUGGGUAAUGAUGCAUCAUGUAAAGUCAUUGAAAUGAGAAUAUUAGGCAAGUAACAGAGUUAAGAAGGAACCUAAUUUCUUUCCAUAGCAUAUGCGAUUGGGUGCAUAGGAAAACAUUUGAGCUUCACAAGAGUAAUUUGUUGAAGAGGGUAAAAUAGGGGGUAAUUUGUUCUAAUGGGUAAGAUGCAUCAUGUAUGGUCAUUAAAAUGAGGAUGUUAGGCAUGUAACAGAGUAUAGUUGGAGAUGUGAAAGCACAAGACGGUGGGCAUUCUUGAUUACGUGCACUCUGAUAUUACAUUACUUUCAUCGAUGACUUCUCUAGAGUAAAUUGAGUUACUGCAUAAUGAUACUUGAAAUUUGGUAGAGCUUUCAGAGGAGAAAGAAACUAAUAAAGUGCACGUAAAGUGUAUGAAAAUGGGUGUACAGAAAAAAAGAAGCAAUGUGAAGACUGCUUUCCUUAGUGAUGAUUUGGAGGAACAGAUAGCGGCCAGAGGGUUCUUGAAACCCAUACCAGAGAAUCUUGUGUGUAGACCAAAGAGUGUACAGGGAAUCUUGUGUGUAGACUGAAGAGUUCGGGGUUGGUUCGUAUAUUUUCUUGAUGUUGUAUGUGGAUGACAUGCUAAUUUCUGCCAAGAACAUAAAUGAGGUAGACAGAUUGAAAUCUUUGUUGAGCAGUAAGUUUGAUAUGAAAGAUUCUUGAAAUGGAGAUCAAGGUUCGAGCCCUAUAAAAAUAAAAUGAAAAUUCGAAAGGAGAAGAUUAUUUUAGUUUAGGGAUAGAUAGAUGCAGAUUAUGCAGGCGACCUGAAUGAUAGAAGGUCCCAUACAAGUUAUAUUUUCACACUUGCAAGAGCGAAGCCAAUCAAAAUGGAAAUGCUUGAACUUGAUUAACUUCGCCAAGGUCGAGAGGUUGUGGAACACAAAUUUACUGGAUCAAAUGGGCUGACAUCGGAGUGGAGCAAGGGAGAGUAUACUUCGCUAAAUAGUUCGGAUUUAGUCUUGUAUGGAUUCGGGCUAGGGUUAAUAUAAAUAAUAAUGUUGUUAUCUUUGCUUCCCUCUCGUGGACAUAGG